rfam:Alicyclobacillus ferrooxydans strain TC-34 contig_13, whole genome shotgun sequence.
UGUGUUUUUCAGGAUGGACCGUAGACAGCAGGCCCUUUGGGUUAAUGGGAAACCGCCUGCCGAGGUUCGCGACGGAUUGUAAAGUCGCGUCUCCGUGUCUGCGGAGGCGCGACUUUUUUGAUGUCUUC